rnacentral:rRNA from 1 species
ACGUAGGGUGCAAGCGUUAAUCGGAAUUACUGGGCGUAAAGCGUGCGUAGGUGGUUUGUUAAGUCUGAUGUGAAAGCCCUGGGCUCAACCUGGGAACGGCAUUGGAUACUGGCUUACUAGAGUGCGGUAGAGGGUAGUGGAAUUCCCGGUGUAGCAGUGAAAUGCGUAGAUAUGCGGAGGAACACCGAUGGCGAAGGCAAUCCCCUGGGCCUGCACUGACGCUCAUGCACGAAAGCGUGGGGAGCAAACAGGA